rnacentral:rRNA from 1 species
CCUACGGGAGGCAGCAGUGGGGAAUUUUCCGCAAUGGGCGAAAGCCUGACGGAGCAAUACCGCGUGAGGGAGGAAGGCUCUUGGGUCGUAAACCUCUUUUCUCAGGGAAGAACAAAAUGACGGUACCUGAGGAAUAAGCAUCGGCUAACUCCGUGCCAGCAGCCGCGGUAAUACGGAGGAUGCAAGCGUUAUCCGGAAUGAUUGGGCGUAAAGCGUCCGCAGGUGGCGAUGUAAGUCUGCUGUUAAAGAGUCUAGCUCAACUAGAUAAGAGCGGUGGAAACUACAUAGCUAGAGUACGUUCGGGGCAGAGGGAAUUCCUGGUGUAGCGGUGAAAUGCGUAGAGAUCAGGAAGAACACCGGUGGCGAAGGCGCUCUGCUAGGCCGUAACUGACACUGAGGGACGAAAGCUAGGGGAGCGAAUGGGAUUAGAUACCCCAGUAGUCCUAGCCGUAAACGAUGGAUACUAGGCGUGGCUUGUAUCGACCCGAGCCGUGCCGUAGCUAACGCGUUAAGUAUCCCGCCUGGGGAGUACGCCGGCAACGGUGAAACUCAAAGGAAUUGAACGGCUGAGAGUGCGAGACGACACGAGGAGAGG